UGUCUAUGAAAUGAAUGGAUGAACACAGUCAGUAAUAAAAUACUGAAAUGCUGAGCACAGCCCCUGGCUCAUAGUAGAGCGCAAUAAAUGGUUUAGUUAAUAUCACAGGUUAAAGACGAAGAAUAAGGGGGAUCCCUGCCUUGAUGGACAAGGAGAAAAGCAGGGCCCUGAUGAGGGAGCCCCGCACUGCCAGGAUGGAGCAGGAGUGUCAAAGGAAGCCUUCCAACAGCGGUGGCACAGGCGCCAAGGCAACAAGGAAGGGUGGGAGCUCUGCAAGGCACCGGGCACUCCAGGCAGAAGGACCUGUGUGGGGAAAAGCAAGGCAGCUGGAAAAAGCAAGCGGAGCUGCGAAGGCGCCAAGAACACAGUGAGAAGGUAGCCAGGAAGAGAGCCCUCACCAGGAACAUAAUCUGCCGGCACUUUGAUCUUGGACUUCUAGCUUCCAGAACUAGGAGCAAUAAAUGUCUGUUGUUUAAGCCACCCACCCUGUGGU
rnacentral:lncRNA from 10 species